UAGCUUAGUUGGUAGUGCGUCUGCCUUGUAAGCGCUUGGCCGCGGGUUCGAUUCCCGC
rnacentral:tRNA from 1 species